CGUGUAGGCGGACUCGCAAGUCGGUUGUGAAAUCCCUGGGCCUAACCUAGGAACUGCAUCCGAAACUGCUUGUCUUGAGUAAUGGAGAGGGUGGCGGAAUUCCCGGUGUAGAGGUGAAAUUCGUAGAUAUCGGGAGGAACAUCAGUGGCGAAGGCGGCCACCUGGACAUUUACUGACGCUGAGACGCGAAAGCGUGGGGAGCAAACAGGAUUAGAUACCCUGGUAGUCC
rnacentral:rRNA from 1 species